rnacentral:rRNA from 1 species
GACGAACGCUGGCGGCGUGCUUAACACAUGCAAGUCGAGCGGUAAGGCCCUUUCGGGGGUACACGAGCGGCGAACGGGUGAGUAACACGUGGGUGACCUGCCCUCAGCUCUGGGAUAAGCCUGGGAAACUGGGUCUAAUACUGGAUAUGACUCCACGGUGCAUGUCGUGGGGUGGAAAGCCUUGUGCGGCUGAGGAUGGGCCCGCGGCCUAUCAGCUUGUUGGUGGGGUGANGGCCUACCAAGGCGACGACGGGUAGCCGGCCUGAGAGGGCGACCGGCCACACUGGGACUGAGAUACGGCCCAGACUCCUACGGGAGGCAGCAGUGGGGAAUCUUGCGCAAUGGGCGAAAGCCUGACGCAGCGACGCCGCGUGAGGGAUGA